rnacentral:rRNA from 1 species
GACGAACGCUGGCGGCGUGCUUAACACAUGCAAGUCGAACGAUGACGACCGAGCUUGCUCGGUCUGAUUAGUGGCGAACGGGUGAGUAACACGUGAGUAACCUGCCCUUCACUCUGGGAUAACCUCGGGAAAUCGGGGCUAAUACCGGAUAUGAGCUCCUGUCGCAUGGUGGGUGUUGGAAAGUUUUUCGGUGUAGGAUGGGCUCGCGGCCUAUCAGUUUGUUGGUGAGGUAGUGGCUCACCAAGGCGAUGACGGGUAGCCGGCCUGAGAGGGCGACCGGCCACACUGGGACUGAGACACGGCCCAGACUCCUACGGGAGGCAGCAGUGGGGAAUAUUGCACAAUGGGCGAAAGCCUGAUGCAGCGACGCCGCGUGAGGGAUGACGGCCUUCGGGUUGUAAACCGCUUUCAGCAGGGAAGAAGCGAAAGUGACGGUACCUGCAGAAGAAGCGCCGGCUAACUACGUG